AGGGUGCGAGCGUUGUCCGGAAUUACUGGGCGUAAAGAGCUCGUAGGCGGUUUGUCGCGUCGUCUGUGAAAUUCUGCAACUCAAUUGCAGGCGUGCAGGCGAUACGGGCAGACUUGAGUACUACAGGGGAGACUGGAAUUCCUGGUGUAGCGGUGAAAUGCGCAGAUAUCAGGAGGAACACCGGUGGCGAAGGCGGGUCUCUGGGUAGUAACUGACGCUGAGGAGCGAAAGCGUGGGUAGC
rnacentral:rRNA from 1 species